rnacentral:rRNA from 1 species
UACGAAGGGGGCUAGCGUUGUUCGGAAUUACUGGGCGUAAAGGGCGCGUAGGCGGUCCUGAUCGUCGGAUGUGAAAGGCCUGGGCUCAACCUGGGAACUGCAUCCGAUACGGCGGGACUGGAGUGUGGGAGAGGUUGGUGGAAUUCCCAGUGUAGAGGUGAAAUUCGUAGAUAUUGGGAAGAACACCGGUGGCGAAGGCGGCCAAACUGGACCACAACUGACGCUGAGGCGCGAAAGCGUGGGGAGCAAACAGG